rnacentral:rRNA from 1 species
UACGGAGGGUGCAAGCGUUAUCCGGAUUCACUGGGUUUAAAGGGUGCGUAGGUGGCUUUGUAAGUCAGUGGUGAAAGCCCGGAGCUCAACUCCGGAACUGCCAUUGAUACUGCUUAGCUUGAAUCACGUCGAGGUGGAUGGAAUAAUACAUGUAGCGGUGAAAUGCUUAGAUAUGUAUUAGAACACCGAUUGCGAAGGCAGUUCACUAGGCGUGUAUUGACACUGUGGCACGAAAGCGUGGGGAUCAAACAGG